CAGCAGCCGCGGUAAUACGUAGGGUGCAAGCGUUACUCGGAAUUACUGGGCGUAAAGCGUGCGUAGGUGGUGGUUUAAGUCCGUUGUGAAAGCCCUGGGCUCAACCUGGGAAUUGCAGUGGAUACUGGGUCACUAGAGUGUGGUAGAGGAUAGUGGAAUUUCCGGUGUAGCAGUGAAAUGCGUAGAGAUCGGAAGGAACAUCUGUGGCGAAGGCGACUAUCUGGGCCAACACUGACACUGAGGCACGAAAGCGUGGGGAGCAAACAGGAUUAGAUACCCCUGUAGUCCCUGUCUCUUAUAC
rnacentral:rRNA from 1 species